rnacentral:ncRNA from 1 species
UGACUUUAGCUGUUUUGCCUAAGUAUUCUUCAGUGGUCAUGUGAGAAUGUGGCUUUACAUGUGGGUGAUAAUCUAGUAGUUAAACUAAACUAUUAGUUUUAUUAUCUGUUUUUAAUACACUCGGUCAUGGGAUCAUGAUGAGCACAGCAUCAGCUGAGGAGUCUGCCUGAGGCAGUACACCUGUCAAACCAUAAUCCAGAUGUCCUAAGGCAAGCCCAGGAAGGACAGAAACCUCCAGUGGAGCAGAAAGCCAAACGCUCACUUGAUCUUCAUUUUGAAAUGUUGUUGAUGCAAUCGCAGACCUCAGAAA